rnacentral:rRNA from 1 species
AGUGAACGCUGGCGGUAUGCCUAAUACAUGCAAGUCGAACGGCAGCACAGUAAGCUCUCGCCCUUACGGGUGGCGGCUGGCGGACGGGUAACGCGUACAUCGCAUUCUUCUUUUUCUUGGGGAACAACGUGGGAAAACUUACGAUAAUACCGCAUAUGACCUACCGGUGAAUGCAAGGGAUCUUCGCACCUUGCGCGAUUGAUUUAGCCGAUGUCGGAUUAGCUAGUUGGCGGGGUAAAGGCCCACCAAGGCGACGAUACGUAGCUGGUCUGAGAGGAUGAUCAGCCACACUGGAACUGAGACACGGUCCAGACUCCUACGGGAGGCAGCAGUGGGGAAUAUUGGACAAUGGGCGCAAGCCUGAUCCAGCCAUACCGCGUGAGUGAAGAAGGCCUUCGGGUUGUAAAGCCCUUUUGUUGGGAAAGAAAAGCAGCAGGUUAAUACCCCGCUGUUCUGACGGUACCUAAAGAAUAAGCACCGGCUAACUUCGUG